ACGGUGGACGACAUUCUGCAGUCAGUUGUACUGUUGCAGGAUGUAACGACGACCUUCUUUCGAGGCAGGUGCGAGAAAAACAAUUUUUCUCUUUACAAUUGCGCGAGAAAAACAAUUGGUAAGAUUGUCGCCGUUGUUUACAUUGUCUGUUAACGAAUCAGUUCCUAUCCAUGUCACUUAUUUUAAAAUGUCACUUAUUUUGAGACGGAGAAUAAUAUUGUUUCUAAUAGUUAAUUAGCUCUAUUAAUUGUCGAAUCAUGUCUCCUGCUGUGUUCUCUUUGAUGGAUCAUGUAAUGCAAAUGUAGGUGUAGAAAAUGACAUUCUAUGGCUUUUUUUGGAUUGGCGCAAAAUAGGACCUACAUUGAUGCAGUUGUUAGUUUAGGUCACUAUUAUGGAUCAACGAUUUCCUCCAACAACUUGGGUGCAUAGUUCUAAGAAACGUAUGGGGAUCGGGGAUUUGAUCCAGAGGUCAUGGAUCUGUAGCCGCAAAGUUCUAAGGAAAGUAAGAGACUAUGGAAAAAUAUGGAGAUAAUUCCAUAUUUGCCAAUGAGAAUUUGCCCAUAUGCCCAAAUGCCACCGAGAAUUUGUCUGUUCCAAAUGUGCCACUCAAAUUUUGCACCGGUUACAAAUAUGCCACUGCUGUUAGUUGACUGUUAAGUGACUUGUCAGUUAUUUACUAUAGACCGAAAUACCCUUGGGUCGACAUGUCAGAAAAACAAAAAGAAAAAAGAAAACUUAAUCACCCAUCCCUCUCUCGGUCUCUCUCCCCAAAUCCCGACCCGACCCGCCUUGUCUCUCCCCUGGGCGGUCAGUGGCGACGGUGGUCUCCCGAGAGUCGGUCGGCGGCGGCGUUCUCGCGGGGCACGGACGCAGCAGCGAAGAGAUCCACGGCGCGGGGGCCUUCUUCCCCCGAACCGACCCGCCCUUUCUCUCCCCUAGGCGGUCGGUGGCGAGGGCGUCCUCCUGAGAGUCGGUCGGCAACGGCG
rnacentral:lncRNA from 1 species